rnacentral:lncRNA from 1 species
GAGAGGUAAACAGUGGUAACUACUUCGGAUUCACUGAGACCAAGCGUGCCAAGCUAAACAUUCCUUUUUUGAUAGGAUUAGUAGAUUACAUGCCGGUAUGUCUUCACUUAUAUUUGGAAUCUAAAACAAUCAAACUCAUAGAAACAGAGAGUAGAAUGGUGGUUACCAGAGGCUGGGGGCUGGGGGAAUGAGGAGUUGAUGGUCAAAGUAUACAGCCUCAGUUAGACAGGAGGAGC